rnacentral:misc_RNA from 1 species
CAAUUUGAAAAUAUACAGGGUGGUUGGUAACUGGUGAUACAAGCGGAAAGGGGGUGAUUCUACGCGAAAAAAGAAGUCGAAAAUAUAGAAUAAAAAUUUUUCGUUUGAGGCUUUGUUUUCGAGAAAAUCGACUUUGAAUUUUCACUCGGUACGCGUGCACUUUAUCACGUCUCGUUAUAACGGAUCUCACUGUAGAUCGUUGUCUCGAUUGACCCACAAACGAAAAAUUUUUAUUCUAUAUUUUCGACUUUUUUUCGCGUAGAAUCACCCCCUUUCCGCUUGUACCGCCAGUUGCCAACCACCCUGUAUAUAGAAAUCU